UCCUAGUUAACCUAGGCAGUCUCAUUAGAGUUCCCAUCCGAAAUGUUGGCAACUAAUGAUAAGGGUUGCGCUCGUUGCUGGACUUAACCAAACACCUCACGGCACGAGCUGACGACAGCCAUGCAGCACCUGUGCACCGGCCCCGAAGGGCGUUACUAUUUCUAGUAACUUCCAGUGCAUGUCAAAUCUGGGUAAGGUUCUUCGCGUUGCAUCGAAUUAAACCACAUGCUCCACUGCUUGUGCGGGUCCCCGUCAAUUCUUUUGAGUUUCAGCCUUGCGACUGUACUCCCCAGGCGGUAUACUUAUCGCGUUCGCUACGGCACAACUAGGGUUGAGUCCAGUUACACCAAGUAUACAUAGUUUACGGCAAGGACUAC
rnacentral:misc_RNA from 1 species